rnacentral:rRNA from 1 species
GGGAUCAUUACAGAGUUGCAAAACUCCCAAACCAUUGUGAACGUUACCUUCAAACCGUUGCUUCGGCGGGAGGCCCGGGUCCGCCCGGUGCCCCCUGGCCCCCUAGCGGGGCGCCCGCCGGAGGAAACCCAACUCUUGAUUAUUAUGGCCUCUCUGAGUCUUCUGUACUGAAUAAGUCAAAACUUUCAACAACGGAUCUCUUGGUUCUGGCAUCGAUGAAGAACGCAGCGAAAUGCGAUAAGUAAUGUGAAUUGCAGAAUUCAGUGAAUCAUCGAAUCUUUGAACGCACAUUGCGCCCGCCAGUAUUCUGGCGGGCAUGCCUGUUCGAGCGUCAUUUCAACCAUCAAGCCCCAGGCUUGUGUUGGGGACCUGCGGCUGCCGCAGGCCCUGAAAACCAGUGGCGGGCUCGCUGUCACACCGGGCGUAGUAGAUUUUAUCUCGCUCAGGGCGUGCUGCGGGUUCCGGCCGUUAAAAAGCCUUUUUUACCCAAGGUUGACCUCGGAUCAGGUAGGAAGACCCGCUGAACUUAAGCAUAUCAAUAAGCGGAGGAAAAG